GAUGAACGCUGGCGGCGUGCCUAAUACAUGCAAGUCGAGCGAACGGACGAGAAGCUUGCUUUUCUGAUGUUAGCGGCGGACGGGUGAGUAACACGUGGAUAACCUACCUAUAAGACUGGGAUAACUUCGGGAAACCGGAGCUAAUCUCGGAUAAUCUUUUGAACCGCAUGGUUCAAUAGUGAAAGACGGUCUUGCUGUCACUUCUCGAUGGAUCCGCGCUGCAUUAGCUAGUUGGUAAGGUCACGGCUUAUCACGGCAACGAUGCAUAGACGACCUGAGAGGGGGGUCGGCCACCCUAGAAGUGGAACGCGGUCCAGGGGACUAAGGGAGGCAGCAGUAGGGAAUCGGCGGCAAUGGGCGAGAGUCUUACGGAGCAACGGCGAGUGAGUGGUGAAGGUGUUCGGUGCGUGAAACUCGGUUAUGAGGGAAGAACAGAUGUGGAAUGAACUGUACAGAUCGUGACGGUACCGAGUCAGAAAGCAACGGCUAACUACGUG
rnacentral:rRNA from 1 species